rnacentral:rRNA from 1 species
CCUACGGGAGGCAGCAGUGGGGAAUCUUGCGCAAUGGGGGAAACCUUGACGCAGCAACGCCGCGUGGGUGAUGAAGGCCUUCGGGUCGUAAAGCCCUGUCAGGUGGGAAGAAACAUGUCGGUGCUAAUAUCACCCGAUGUUUGACGGUACCGCCGGAGGAAGCACCGGCUAACUCCGUGCCAGCAGCCGCGGUAAUACGGAGGGUGCAAGCGUUGUUCGGAAUUACUGGGCGUAAAGCGCGUGUAGGCGGUCGGGCAAGUCAGAUGUGAAAGCCUUCCGCUCAACGGAAGAAGUGCAUUUGAAACUACCCGGCUGGAGUACGGGAGAGGAGAGUGGAAUUCCCGGUGUAGAGGUGAAAUUCGUAGAUAUCGGGAGGAACACCAGUGGCGAAGGCGGCUCUCUGGUCCGAUACUGACGCUGAGACGCGAAAGCGUGGGGAGCAAACAGGAUUAGAUACCCUGGUAGUCCACGCCGUAAACGAUGGGCACUAGGUGUAGGAAGUAUUGACCCCUUCUGUGCCGAAGUUAACGCAUUAAGUGCCCCGCCUGGGGAGUACGGCCGCAAGGUAAAACUCAAGGAUUGACG